GAUGAACGCUGGCGGCGUGCCUAACACAUGCAAGUCGAGCGACAGCGCGGGCAGCUUCCUCCCCUGACGUUGCGGGCGGGCGGGUAAUACACCGGUGCAUACCCAGCCUUUAGGGCUGGCUUAGCUUCGGCAAGCCGAAUCCCACACCGGACAUUAUGUUGAACGCCGGGGUUCAUCGGACAACGCGCGUUUUGCUCUCCCUAUUGGAUGUUUCCCAGCCGGAUUAGCUAGUUGGUACGGUAACGGCCUACCAAGGCAACGAUGCGUAGCCGACCUGAGAGGGUGACCGGCCACACUGGAACUGAGACACGGUCCAGACUCCUACGGGAGGCAGCAGUAGGGAAUUUUCGACAAUGGGCGAAAGCCUGACGGAGCAACGCCGCGUGAGUGAUGAAGGUCUUCGGGUCGUAAAACUCUUUUAUUAGGGAAGAAAAAAUGUGUAAGUAACUAUGCACGUCUUGACGGUACCUAAACAGAAAGCAACGGCUAACUACGUG
rnacentral:rRNA from 1 species